rnacentral:rRNA from 1 species
UACGUAGGGGCCGAGCGUUGUCCGGAGUUAUUGGGCGUAAAGCGCGCGCAGGCGGCGGUGUCAGCCCGACGUGAAAGCCCCCGGCUUAACCGGGGAGGGUCGUGGGGGACGGCACCGCUUGAGGGCGGGAGAGGGCGGUGGAAUUCCCGGUGUAGUGGUGAAAUGCGUAGAGAUCGGGAGGAACACCUGUGGCGAAGGCGGCCGCCUGGGCCGACCCUGACGCUGAGGCGCGAAGGCGUGGGGAGCGAACGGG